rnacentral:misc_RNA from 1 species
GAUGAAGAACGUAUCGAAAUGCGAUAAGUAGUGUGAAUUGCAGAAUUCAGUGAAUCAUCGAAUCUUUGAACGCACAUUGCGCCCCUUGGUAUUCCAUGGGGCAUGCCUGUUCGAGCGUCAUUUGUACCUUCAAGCUUUGCUUGGUGUUGGGUGUUUGUCUCGCCUUUGCGUGUAGACUCGCCUUAAAAUAAUUGGCAGCCGGCGUAUUGAUUUCGGAGCGCAGUACAUCUCGCGCUUUGCACCCAUAACGACAGCGUCCAAAAGUACAUUUUACACUCUUGACCUCGGAUCAGGUAAGACUACCCGCUGAACUUAAGCAUAUCAAUAAGCGGAGGA